rnacentral:rRNA from 1 species
GGUCAGGACGAACGCUGGCGGCGUGCUUAACACAUGCAAGUCGAGCGAUGAAGCUCCUUCGGGAGUGGAUUAGCGGCGGACGGGUGAGUAACACGUGGGUAACCUGCCUCAUAGAGGGGAAUAGCCUUUCGAAAGGAAGAUUAAUACCGCAUAAGAUUGUAGUACCGCAUGGUACAGCAAUUAAAGGAGUAAUCCGCUAUGAGAUGGACCCGCGUCGCAUUAGCUAGUUGGUGAGGUAACGGCUCACCAAGGCGACGAUGCGUAGCCGACCUGAGAGGGUGAUCGGCCACAUUGGGACUGAGACACGGCCCAGACUCCUACGGGAGGCGGCAGUGGGGAAUAUUGCACAAUGGGGGAAACCCUGAUGCAGCAACGCCGCGUGAGUGAUGACGGCCUUCGGGUUGUAAAACUCUGUCUUUGGGGACGAUAAUGACGGUACCCAAGGAGGAAGCCACGGCUAACUACGUGCCAGCCGCUGC